UCGAGAAUCAUUCGCAAUGGGCGAAAGCCUGACGAUGCGACGCCGUGUGAGCGAAGAAGGCCUUCGGGUCGUAAAGCUCUUUCGCUUGGGAACAAGAGAGGCCGACUAAUAUUCGGCUAAUUUGAGCGUACCAGGUAAAGAAGCACCGGCUAACUCCGUGCCAGCAGCUGCGGUAAUACGGAGGGUGCAAGCAUUAAUCGGAUUUAUUGGGCGUAAAGGGCGCGUAGGCGGGGAUAUAAGUCAGACGUGAAAUCCCGAGGCUCAACCUCGGAACUGCAUUUGAAACUGUAUCUCUCGAGGGUAGGAGGAGAAAACGGAAUUCCACAAGUAGCGGUGAAAUGCGUAGAUAUGUGGAAGAACACCGGUGGCGAAGGCGGUUUUCUAUCUUACUCCUGACGCUGAUGCGCGAAAGCAAGGGGAUCAAACA
rnacentral:rRNA from 1 species